CCCCUCUACUGACCCUGUCCCUGCCCCACUUCAGACCCAGCCUCCCCUCUGGGAGAAUUGGGGUGCCUCUGCCCCCCCACCACAUUACUUCAGGCUGUGGGGCUCCCACUUACCUGACGCUUGCCUGCUUCCACUAAACUGCUCUCUCUGGGGGGCAACCCCCCGGCCCCACAGCAAGGGGAGGAUCCCCAGCAGUCAGGGGGAGAAAAAGGGGGUGCAGGAAACGAGGGGCCCCUUUCGCUCCUUUCCGCGCCCGGCUGUGGUUCACCCCGUCGGGCCACUCGCCCAGCACUGGUGCCUUCCCUCCGGCCCAGGGCCCUAUAUACACUGGGGCCCCCCCCCCGGCCCCAGCUGCGUUGGAGGUAACAAUGGGUUGCCAUGGUAAUGGGAUGCGGGGGCGCGGGGGGGGACCGUGCGUCAGCUGCUGACACAGAAAGGAGACGGUGGUGGGGGCAGCUUCCGGGUUCCCCGAUGCCUCCAGCCAGCCCUGGCCCCUCCAGGGGGCGCCAGCCCCACCUGGCCACAGGGUGGCGCUGGCUGGCUCGGGGGCAGGGGGCCUGUCCUGGCGGGGGGGCCACGGGCCCAGGUGGCAGCAGGUUGAAGUCUCUCUCCACCCCCCGAUCUCGCCCCCCACGAAGCUGCCGGUCCCCCCACACCCGCACGGCCGCAGGAGGACACGUACAGAAAAGAAGGCAAAACUGCUAAAGCCUUUGAGGUGAAGUAUUACAGCAGCUUUAGUUUUAACAACAUCCCGGGUUCCCUUUGACUUUGGCUGUGAGGAGUCUUUAGAAAAUAAAAUCCCACCUUGACAUGACCACCUUCACCAGAUGAGGACAUUCCUGCAGAGAUGUACAUCGCGUCAUGGAACAGGCCACCCAGCUGCAAUUCGGAAAUAAAAGCCCUGGAACCGCACACCCCCAAUUGUCACCUAGCACCUUACAUUGGAACCCACACAGGAUAUCAUCAAAUACUCGAUGCGGAUUCCAUCCUGAAAAAUCUUUCCUGAGUUCCCUUUUUGGCCUUCAAACAACCCCCCGACCCCUCUCCAAGCUCAUCGGAAGCAAGCUCCUCAGAGGUGAAACCAGAAAUCAGUGGUCUCUCGAGUGAACUUGCACAGGAAAAUGAUAAAACACAAAAAUACCACAUCACGGUGAACAAUUGUCACAGAAUGAUCGCUCCAUAUCUGACUUCUCCAUCCUUGUCCUGAAAGGAAACCUGCACAAAACCUUCAAAAUAUGAGCCUGGGAGCUUAAAUUCAUAACUCUACCAGACACCAAAAAUCAUGGACUCAGUAGAGACACUGGAUUUAUGGCUCAUUACAACAAUCUGUAACCCACUAACCCUCCUUUGUCCUUGGACUGCAGAAGCAUUAGCUGCCCACCUCACUUUGGGUGGUCUCUUGCAACAUGUGCUCCUUGUGCUAAACGAUCCACUCUGCCUUCUGUUUAGCUGUGACCCUCAGAGGACCUUUCUCAGCCCUGAAGAAGAGCUCUGUGGAGCUUGAAAGCUAGUGACUCUCACCAACAGAAGUUGAUCCAAUAAUGGAUAUUACUUCACCCACCUUGUGGGCUGGUCUACACUGGAAAUAUACAUCAGUAUAGUUACAUCUCUCAGAGUUGUGAAAAAUCCACACCCUGGAGCAAUGCAGUUAUCCCAACCUAACUCCCAGUGCAAGCAGUACUAGGUCAAUGGAAGAAUUCCAUCUCGGAGAGGUGAAUUAUGCGCCGAUGCAGCAUUUUAGGUGUACACUUACCCUCAGUCUUUACAUGGCAACAACUGUUCUUUUUGGGGCAAAGGGAAACAGUCAAAAUGAGUUGGAGCUGCGGUUGCUGUUGCUGUUAAAGUCCAAUCCUGUUUCCUCCAAAACAAGACAAUCCUGUUUCCUCCAAGAGAAGACAAACAAAAGGAGAGACAGGAACAGCAAAGACAAACGACACAGCUUCUGGUUAUUCGUUCUCACUUGCAACCUCCCUGCUGGAGAAACAUGGGUCCAGCCCCCGGUGUGACCAGCCAUGCUGAGACCUGGAAAACUUGUGCCAGUAUCGAGCUUUGCAGGACAAUGCUUUUAGCUGCCUCUCUGGUCACAGGCUCAGAGCUGGGUUGCAAGAUAUAGUCUUGGCCAACUAAGCCAAAAGGGAGAGAGACAGGAUGGUGAAGAAAUAAGGUGGGGAAGGAAAAGGACAUGUGGUGUGGGGGAAGGUGAAAAGGAUGAGUGAUACAGAGGGGUGACAAAGUCUCCCAUCCCAGGUGGUGGUUAGGAUUUACCCAAAGCAGGUGGAGGUGGCUACAUCAUCUGGGUCCCUGUCUGGGCUAGUCCGGUCAUGACAUCCCUCAGGAUCAAGACAGUGAAGGCUUAGCAGAGUGAUGGUGGAUGCUGGGGUCCCAGGGGACAGUGAGGGUGGCAGUCAUGAUGGUGACACUUGUUCCUUUCUGUUCUGAUUUUCAGUCGGCCAACAUUGCUGCCGUUCUCCCCACAAAGUCUCUUUGAGGCCCUAAAAGGGAGUGGUGGCUGGAAUGGCCCAUCCCCUCAUUAUUUUGUUCACCCAUUUGGCCAAGUUUCAAUCAUUGAUUUCCAGUCCCCCACUUCUUUUGUUCACGGGCAUGAUCUGAAUACAAUUCUGGAGUUAGAUUGGGAGGGACAAGAAAAGCAAAAACAGAUUUUAUUUGGACUAAUACAGUCUGUCACCCUUUGGCACCUUUGCCCAUCAUCAUUUGCUGUCAGGUUACUGUGACAUCUCAUGAGCGUUCAGUCCCUUCUCAGCUGUGGUCUCUAUUAGAUAAAAACAAACCUUUGUUAAUCAGUUUGAUUAAUGGAUUUCCCCAUACCACCAUCCUUGGGGCUCUUUGAAUUCUGAUGGCUUAACUACACAAAAGGACUCGAGCUACAUUUGAUUGUAGAGAAUUGUAUUAAAUAUCCUUAAGAGCAACAUAUAGGGAUAAGAAGGCAAAAAUACUAGCAGUAUAGUUUUGCUAAACUAGAAAAUUGGCCUAUAUGGUAAUGGGCCUAUCCAAGUUUCAAGAAUCACGUAACAACUACAAUAGAAAACACUCAACAUCUAUUCUGGGAAGGUGACUUUGUCCAGGUGAUCAACCCUGGUGUUGCUAACACAGAGGAAAAAGUAAUUCAAAGGUAAAACGUAAGACAGUCUGGGCAGUUAUUUACAUCACAAUUCAUCAAAGUCUCCUUUGCAAUGGAUCUAUACCAGUCAACCCUUUUAACCUAGUUCUCCAUGAGUUAUAUGAGCCCCCGAAUCUGCAUAAUACUAUCUAACUUGAACUCCUACGUUUAGGCUUGGAAGGAUUUGAUUUUUAUCGGUAAAUGAAUUUUCCUGUCUCUAUAAGUGCAAAAUGCCAUAUCACACCAGCUUGUGGAAGACAAGAUAGGCCAGAUUUGUUGUACAGCUAUCUUGGGACAGAUGUUGAACUCUGGCUGGCUUGCUUCAGGCAGCACCGUAUCGCUCCAAGUCACUUUCCUUGGGUCCCUCUGCAGUGUGUUCCUUGGCCAGCUUUGCACACAAUGCUUGCUCAAGUUGCAGUUUCUUCAUCGAUGCUCUGUGUGCUACUGAAAUGUCCAAUUUACUGUUCGCGCCAUUGAGCCAACAUCCUGCCACAGCCUUUUCAACUUGUUUUAAAGUCCAUCCUACAAUGCAAAGUCACUCCAACAACUGCUGUUCUCCAGUGGGCCAGGUGAGCAGUUCCAGGGGUGGAGGAGUCCGCAAGAUCCCUAUUCCUUCCCCAGCCGCUGAGUUCCAGGCCGAGUUGCAGAAAGAUCCCUC